UUCCCCUCCCUCAAAAUUACACGAAAACCUAGCCUCCAUAGCUAUCUCCACCAAAAGUCCAUGAAAAACGCAUCUUCGCCAAAACCCUCCUCCGCGCCGCCCUCACUAACCUCCUCUGCCACUCCUCCAGAAGGAGCUCGAACGAUGCUCAAGAGAGCGACUCAGGCACAGCUUCAAGGAAUUCAUAUCCAUUUGGAGCGAUCACGAAGAGGAGGGUGGGAAUGGGAUGAAGCUUGAAGCAGAUUGCAAGGAUAAGACACACUAGAUGAGCUCCACCCAACUCUGGAGCCCUAAUUCUACCGCCAACAACAAGGCCGACGAUGAUGGCAAAAGCAUUGUGGAUUAGAAAUGAAAAACCGGAUCUCACGGAGGAGAAGGAGAUCGAUUGCUCGAAGUCGAAAAGCUACCAUUUUGUGGCCGGAUUCGUUCCGUUUAAGAGCUCAAAGCAGGUGUUGAAGCCCUCAAUGACACCAUGUGAUCUCGCUCUUCUAUCGCUCCCACCGUUAAGGUGUUGCCUUCGCCAUCUCUUCAACGGCCGACGAACACUCUGAUAGUGGCUUUAGCGCCAAGCACUCUGACAGUGCCAAACCAGCAUCUGACGACGCACACCUUAGCUUGCAAUUGCAGCAUCCUCCGAGGAAGACGAGGCAAUGCUGGGCGUCAAAACUGCAUCGCCGCAUCAAGAUCACAUAAUCAAGGAGUAUAAAUAAUGGUUGUCUAGAUUCAUUUACCUGACCAAGAUGGAGCUUGGGAAUUUCUUGUCAGAACCACAUUCUGUUUGACAUACUUGAGGGAUUUUGAUCCGACCAGAUAAUUGUGAAGAACCUUUAUGACCUAAUAGGGAUGACAAACUGAGUUCAUUUCAUUAGGGGAUGAUCAAUCUUAUUGAAGUUGGUGCUUUUGGCUUAUCUUUGAUUUCAUUUUAUUGCUGAGAAUGUAUCAUUAGAGGAUUGCUUUAUCCAUCUCAAUAUAUCUUUGUAUUUUAUGGUUCAUUCUUUUGUAGGAGACUUUGCACAUGCACCAUGAAAAAGUUGAUGAUCUAGAGGCUUCCUUGAUUGGGUACGAGGCAAAAGAAACUAGUGGUGAAACUGAAGAAACUAUGGUACGUGGAAGCUAAGCAAAGCUUGAUUAGGAAUUGGCAGAUUUCUACAAUCACUGUUUAUUGUGUCUUUGCUCUUCAAGACAUGGCAUACUCUGAGAUAUUUUGAAGGUGAAUGGUGAUAUUCAGGAACUCCAGCUAAAUAGCUCGAGUAUGGAUGAUUACAGGAGCAGCAACUACAUGCUAUGUGGUACUGCAUCAGAACCUCAGGAGUGUGACUGAGAAGUACUUCGAUGAAGAACUAUCAAGAAGACUUUAGGAUUUAAGCGAGAAGAUGGUUAAAGUCAAUAAGUAAAGAACAUUCAAAUCAAGAGGAUAAGUAACAUCUAUCAAGAUCCUUUAAGUUAAUGUAAUAAGAUGUAGUCGAUAGGAGUAGCUUUGAAUGUCUCCUAAUUAAAAUGUCUUUGUAUGCAAGUAAUUAUGUUUGUUAUAGAAGUAUAAGGAUAAUAAUUUAUAUAUUUAUCUUGGUUAUUUAUCUAAUAAUAUGUUGUUGAUUGAAGUAAA